rnacentral:rRNA from 1 species
AGGCCUAACACAUGCAAGUCGAGGGGUAUAUGUCUUCGGAUAUAGAGACCGGCGCACGGGUGCGUAACGCGUAUGCAAUCUACCUUUUACAGGGGAAUAGCCCAGAGAAAUUUGGAUUAAUGCCCCAUAGUAUAUAAGAAUCGCAUGGUUUUUAUAUUAAAGUUCCAACGGUAAAAGAUGAGCAUGCGUCCCAUUAGUUAGUUGGUAAGGUAACGGCUUACCAAGACAAUGAUGGGUAGGGGUCCUGAGAGGGAGAUCCCCCACACUGGUACUGAGACACGGACCAGACUCCUACGGGAGGCAGCAGUGAGGAAUAUUGGACAAUGGGCGCAAGCCUGAUCCAGCCAUGCCGCGUGCAGGAAGACGGUCCUAUGGAUUGUAAACUGCUUUUGUACAGGAAGAAACACUCCCUCGUGAGGGAGCUUGACGGUACUGUAAGAAUAAGGAUCGGCUAACUCCGUGCCAGCAGCCGCGGUAAUACGGAGGAUCCAAGCGUUAUCCGGAAUCAUUGGGUUUAAAGGGUCCGUAGGCGGUUUAAUAAGUCAGUGGUGAAAGCCCAUCGCUCAACGAUGGAACGGCCAUUGAUACUGUUAGACUUGAAUUAUUAGGAAGUAACUAGAAUAUGUAGUGUAGCGGUGAAAUGCUUAGAUAUUACAUGGAAUACCAAUUGCGAAGGCAGGUUACUACUAAUGGAUUGACGCUGAUGGACGAAAGCGUGGGGAGCGAACAGGAUUAGAUACCCUGGUAGUCCACGCCGUAAACGAUGGAUACUAGCUGUUGGGCGCAAGUUCAGUGGCUAAACGAAAGUGAUAAGUAUCCCACCUGGGGGAGUACGUUCGCAAGAA